CUGACUCACCACCCCCCGGGAGUCAGUGAAGGCUUCCCCGAGGAAGCAGUGUUUGAGCUGAGCCUUGAAACAGAAGUAAGAAGACUCCAGGAGAAGGCUGCAGUAGAGGCUAGAGCUAUUUUUCCUGGCAACAGACCCAGAGAGAAGCUCAACACUUGGAGUAUGAAAGGAGAGUUGGAAAGAAAUCAACUGUGGAAUAACUGCGUGAGUCAUAGUCCAUGUUCUCCUUCCCUGCAUCACAUGCUCAGGCUAAAACCAGAGGACUAAUAUUUAAAAUAAUUGAAUAGUCUUCGUGAGAAGGAGCCCUAGUUGGGGUGAUGCCUCAUCUGAGUAAACUUCUUCCCAUUUUUGCUGGGAAGUGGGAGAAGUAGGGAGGGGGACCUCCAACCUCCUCUUCUUUCACUACAAGGUCUAAAGCAAAGGCUUCCAGUGACAGCCACUUGUGUAGACAAGAGAGAGCUGGACAAGGCCGAGCUAUCUGCAUUGAAUGAGGUGACCUACCUCAGUUGUAGGUAUGAAUCUAUAGCCAAGGAUUAUGAAAACCUGAAGAAAAAUGAGGACAAAAGAGCAGGUUGAGAGAAAAAAUACACUGACUCUGGAGGAAAUAGAUAAUUCAGGACAUAGAAAAUUCUUUAAAGUUAUUCUAUGUAGUAUCCUCAUGGAAACAAAGUCAAGAGAAAGCAUUUUUAGUGCAAAAUUAGAUUGCUAAGAAAGAACAACUAAAACAAAAUAAAUAGUUAUUAAAAUGAAAAAGUAAUUGUUAAAGUUAGAUAUUCAAGGGAAGACCUGGGAGAAAAAGUUGAAGAAACUGCUCUAAAUGUAGUGCAAAAAGAUAAAGGAUGGAAAAUGUGGGAGAAAAGUGAAGAGAUUAGAGAAGCAUCCAAAGGGAUGUUCAGAAAGAGACAAAACAAAGAAUAAGAGAGAAUUUUCCAUAAGUGAGGAAAUAGGACUUGAGAUUGUAAGAACCCUAGAGAAUGCAAAAUAGGAUGAAUGAACAAACUUAGCCCAAGGCACAUUCUUGUGACAUUUUAGAUAUUGAGAAUAAAGGGAAGAGUCUAAAAGCCAAAAGAAUAGAUUACUCAGUGAGAAUCCAAUUGGUAUUAGAUAGAUCAUCAGCAACUGUAAAUGCUAAGAAAAACAAAACAAGAAGCAUGCCUUCAAAAUGUGUAAAAUAAAGUUUUUUGAACCUAAAAUUCUCUACUUAGCCAAACUAUCAAUCGAUCAAGAGUGAGGCAUUUUCAAGCAUGCAAGAACUCAGACCAUUUACCACCCACAGACUAUUUCUGAAAGAAUUACUGAAGCAAAACAAAAAAGAAUCCAAGUAGGAGGAAGCCAUGGCCUCUAAGGAACAGUGGAUCUUACCCAAGAUUGUAAUGGAAUAUAAUUCCAGGAUGACAACCUUGAGGCAGGCCUAGAAAGCCAUCAGUCUGAAUUAGAACCAGAAGUCAGAUGCUCUGUGAAGAAUCUCUUUCAGGAGGACAUGGAUUUCUUCUAUAAAUUGAAUGACUGGGAAGCUGAGUGGUCUUGUGACAAGGCAAAGGCAUGGUAGGUCAUUGUGAUAAGGUAUCAUCCAAACACUCUCCAAACUGUGAAGUAAUUUUCUUCUUCCAAUAGCAAAGGUUUAUUGACAAGAGUUACGUCUCCUCUAUAGGCUCAAGGGCACAGCUGUGCUUGGUUCUGCAGUGAACAAUGAUCUCCCUACGAAUAUUAUGAAUGCUACUUUUCAGUUUUCAGUUUAAAAAAUCAAUUUAUAGACAAUGCAUCAAAGAUUAAUUGUAGUUAUAGGACAAGUGUGAAAACAAUAGUACACUGGAAUGGAGGUUAGGAGAGAGGGAAGGAGCAAAGGAACAAGAUGUAAUGAUGUUGGAUUCUUUUCAUCAGAAAUAAAAAGAAUUAAGAGAUAUUGUGUCUACAUUUGAGAAGUCAAAAUAGGGUUUCAAGUAUCUUAUAUAAAUUUGUUAAUUCUAGUGAUAUCACACUGAGGCAGUAUAACAUAGUCGUUAAGAGCAUGGAUCCUGGAGCCAGAACACCUGCGUUUGAAUUUUUGCCACACACUUCAAUUUGGGCAAAUUGCUUAUCUGUGCCUUGGUUUUCUCAGCAAAAAUUGAAAAUAAAUAGUUAAUAUUUCACAAAGUUAUUUGAAAAUAAAAACUGUUGAUAUAUAUAAAGUGCUUAGAACAGUCUUUGGCACAUAAAAAAUUAUUCUAUAUCAUCAUAUGUUACCGAUGAUAACGAUGAUGAUGAUGAUGAUGGAAAACAACUAAACAUCUGGAGAAAAGGGAACCCUUGUACCCUGCUGGUGGGAAAGUAAAUUAGUACAUUGAUUAUGGAAAACAGUCUGGAGGUUCCUCAGAAAAUUAAAAAUAAAUCUACAUAUUACCCAGAAAUGGGAUUUCUGGGUAUAUAUGCAAAGAAGAUGAGAUAAGUAUGCCAAAGAGACAUCUGCACUUUCAUGUUCACUGCAGCAUUAUUUACAGUAUCCAAGAAAUGAAAUCAAUGUAAGUGUCCAUCAGUGGAUGAAUGGGUAAAGAAAAUGCGGGGAGGGGGAUUAGGAAGAUGUUGGUCAAAGGAUACAAGGUUUCAGUUAGACAGGAGGAAUACAUUCAGGAGAUCUAUUGUACAACAUUGUGGCUAUAGUUAAUAACAAUGUUUUAUAUUCUUGAAAGUUGCUCUAAGAGAAUAGGUUUUAAGUGUUGUCACCAUAAAAAUGUUAAGUAUGUGAGCUAAUGCAUAUGUUAAUUCGCUCAAUUUAGCUAUUUCACAAUAUAUACAUAUUUUAAAACAACAUAUUGACAUGAUAAAUAUAUACAAUUCUUUGUCAGGUACAAAGUUAAACGAAAAUACAACACAAAACAUUGAAAAAGUUAAAAAAUAAAAAUUUAAUGGGCAGAGAUCAGAAAAGGGAGGUAGUAGCUUGAGAAAAUUUAUUUUUUCAAUUUUUUUAAAAUGAGAGAUCAACGAAUGUUUAAACUUGACAAAUUAGUAAAGAGAGGCAUAACCAUAUUCAGCGUUAUGGAAGCAAUCUUCAGAGAAAUUUCUAUUUUGUCCUAUUUUAAGGGUUUUUAAAAAUUCAUAUGCAAGCACUACUUUUAUUUAGUUUUUACCAAUUUUACUGAGGUGUAAUUGACAUACAAUAAACUGCACAUAUUUAAAGUGAACAGUUUGAUACAUUUUGGACUUAGGUACACACCCCUGAAACUAUCACAGUAAUCAAGAUGAUGAACAUAACCACCAACCAUCAUGCUCUAAAGUUUCUUCAUGCACCUUGAUAAUCUCUUCUUCCUACCUCUUCCCACUCCCCCAAUCUCAGGCAACCACCGUUCUGCUUAUGUGACAAUAAAUUGGCUUGCAUUUCCUAGAAUUUUAUAUCAAUGAAAUCAUAUAGUAUGUACUCUUACAUCUGACUUCUUUCAUUCAGCAUAAUUAUUUUGAGAUUAUUCACACUAUACUGUGUAACAAUACAUUCAUUCUGUGGAUAAACCACAAUUAACAAAUUUACUUGUUGAUGGAAAUCUAGUUUUUGUUUUGCUUUUUCCAGUUUUUGGCUAUUACAAAUAGAACUGCUGUGAUCCUUCAUGUACAAGUCUUGGUAUGGGCUGGGAUUUCAUUUCUUUGGGAUAAAUACUUAGAAGUGGAAUGGCUGGAUUAUAUGAUAGGCAUAUGUUUAAAUUUUUAAGAAACUGUCAAACUGUUUUCCAAAGUGUUUUACAGUAUAUGAGAAUUCCAGUUUCUCCACAUCCUUAUCUUGGCAGUCAACUCUAUCAGCCAUUCUGACAGCUAUGUUGUGGUAUCUUAUUGCAGUCUUAUUUUACAUUUCCUUGGUGACUAUUUAUAUUGACUAUCUUCUCAUGUUUUUGUUUGUCAUCUGUAUAUCUUUAUGGAAAAGUAUCUGUUCAGAUAUUUUGGUCGUCUAAAAAAUUGUUUUUUUUUUUCUUUUUAUUGAGAUUUCAGUUUUCUUUAUGUAUUUUGGAUACAAAGCUUUCAUUAAAGAUAUGAUUUACAAAUGUUUUCUUCCAAUCUGUAGCUUGACUUUUUAUUCUUUUAACAGUGCCUUCUGAAGAAUAGAAAUUUUUUAUUUUGGUGAGGCUCAAUCUUUACCUUUUUUCCUUUCAUGGAUUGUGCUUGGGUGUUAUGUUUACCAAAUAUUUGCAUAACCUAUGAUCACAAAGAUUUUCUAUUGGGUUUAGUGUUAGGUUUUGUAUUGAAGUCUGUGAUCAGUUUAAAGCUAAUCCUUGUGUGUGGUUGAAACAAAAUUAAUUUUUUUUGCAUACAUGUAUUCAAUUGUUCCAACGCCAUUUGUUGAGUCUCUCCUUUCUUCACCAAAUUGCCUUUGUACUUUUGCCAAACAUCAGUUGCUGAAAUAUGUGUUGGUCUAUUUAUGGACUCUAUUUUGUUCCAUUGAUAUAUUUGUUUAUCUUGAUUCUAAUAUCAGACUGUAUUGAUUAGUCUUAUAAUAAGCCUUGAAAGUACACAGUUAGUUCUCCAACUUUGCUUUUCUUUGUCAAAAUUGUUUUGGCUCUUUUUUUUUUUUUUUUUUUUUUUUGAGAUGGAGUCGUGCUCUGUUGCCCAGGCUGGAAUGCUGUGGCGCAAUCUCAGCUCACUGCAGCCUCUGCCUCCUGGGUUCCAGCAAUUCUCCUGUCUCAGCCUCCCUAGUAGCUGGGAUUACAGGCGUAAGCCACCAUGCCUGGCUAAUUGUGUGUGUGUGUGUGAGUGUGUGUGUGUGUGUGUGUGUGUAUUUUUAGUAGAGAUGGGGUUUCACCAUGCUGGCCAGGCUACUCACGACCUCCUGACCUCAGGUGAUCUGCCUGGCUCAGCCUCCCAAAGUGCUGGGAUUACAGGCUUAAGCCACUGUGCCCAGCCUGUUUUGGCUCUUAUAGGUCCUUUGCAUUUCCAUAUGAAUUGUAGAAUCAGCUUGUUGAUUUCUACAAACAAACCUUUUGAGAUUUUUAUUGGGAUUGCAUUGGGUCUGUAGAUCAAUUCAGGAGGAACUGACAUCUUAACAAUAUGAAGUCUUCUCACCCAUACCAAUGUACAUCUCUCCCAUUUAUUUAGGCCUUCUUUAAUUUUUCUCAGCGGUUUUGUAAUUUGUAAUGAAAAGAGCUUGCCUAUAUUUGUUAGAUUUUUUCCCUAAAUAUUUCAUAAUUUCAUCCCAUGGUGUUAUUUUUAAAAUUUCAUUUUCCAAUUAUUUGUUGACAGAAUAUAAGAAAUAAAAUUUAUUUUUGCAUAUUGAUGGCAUAUUCUGUGAAAUUGCUAAGCUCACUUAUUAGUCCUGCAAGUUGUUUUUAUAGAUUUCUUCAGUUUUUUUACAUAGAUGAUCAUGUUGUUGGCAAGGAAAGACAGUCUUACUUCUUAUCCAAUCUGGAUGCUCUUUAUUUCUUUUUCUUCUAUGACUGCACUGGCCACAAUCUCCGAUACAGUACUGAAUAGAAGUUUGAGAGCAAGCAUCCUUGUCUUGUUCCUGAUCUUAGAAGGAAAGCAUUCAGUCUUUUGCCAUUAGGUAUGGUAUUAGUUAUACUUUUUUGUAUAUGCCCUUUAUCAGGUUGAGGAAGUUCCCAUUUAUUUUAGUUUACUAUAAAUUUUCAUCGGGAAUGGCUGUUGGAUUUUGUCAUUUUUUUUAAAUCCACUGAUAUAAUCAUGUGGUUUUUCUUCUUUGAUAUGUUAAUAAAUUACAUUGAUUUUUUAUUAUACCAAUCUUGCAUUCUUAGGAUGAGCCCCUCUUAGUCAUUAUGUAUUACCCUUUUUAUGUGUUGUUGGAUUUGAUUCCUUAAAAUAUUGUUUUGAACGUUCACAUCUAUGUUCAUGAGAUAUAUUGCUCUGUGGUUUUACUUCUUUUCAUGUCUUUGUUUGGUAUUUAGAGUAUUUAGCUCACCAUAUAGAAUGAGUGGCGAGUUAUUACCUUGUCUUCAAAUUUUUGGAAGAGUUUAUACAGAAUUGAUAUUAUUUCCUUCUCAAAAUGUUUGAUAUAAUUCUCCACUGAACCUGAGUCUGGAGUUUUCUUUGUAGGAAGCUUUCUAUCUACAAAUCCAAUUUAUUUCACAGAUAUUGGGUUGUUCACAUUAUCUUUUUCUUUUUAAACGAGAUUUGGUGGUUUGUGUCCUUUGAAAAAUUAAAAGUGCUCAACAUCAUUGAUCAUCAGAGAAAUGCAAAUCAAAAGUACAAUGAGAUAUCAUCUCACUUCAAUUAAAUUUGCUUAUAUCCAAAAGACAGGCAAUAACAAAUGCUGUUGAAGAUGUAGAGAAAAGGGAGCCCUUCUACACUGUUGGUGGGGAUGUAAAUUAGUACAUCCACUAUGAAGAACAGUUUGGAGGUUCCCCAAAAAGCUAAAAAUAGAGCUACUAUAUGAUCCAGCAAUCCCACUGCUGGGUAUAUAUCCCAAAGAAAGGAAAUCAGUAUAUCAAAGAGAUAUCUACACUCCCAUGUUUGUUGCAGCCCUGUUCACAAUAGCCAAGAUUUUGAAGCAACCUAAGUAACCAUCAUCAGAUGAAUGCAUAAAGAAAAUGUGGUACAUAUACACAAUGGAAUACUAUUCAGUCAUCAAAAAGAAAGAGAUACUGUCAUUUGCAACAAUGGAUGAAACUGGAGAUCAUUAUGUUAAGUGAAAUAAGCCAGGCUCAGAAAGAUAAACAUCACACUUAUCUGUGAGAUGUAAAAAUUAAAACGAUUGAACUCAAACAGAGAGAGUAGAAGGAUGGUUAUCAGAGGCUAGGAAGGGUAGUGGGGGGCUGUGGAGGAGGUGGGGGUGGUUAAUGGGUAUAGAAAAAUAGAAAGAAUGAAUAAGACCUACUGUUUGAAAGCAGAACAGUGUGACUGUAGUCAAUAACAACUUAAUUGUAUAUUUUUAAAUAACUAAAAGAGUAUAAUUCGAUUGGUUGUAACUCAAAGGAUAAAUGCUUAAAGGGAUGGAUUCCCCAUUCUCCAUAUAUGAUUAUCACACAUUGCAUGCCUGUAUGACAUCUCAUGUACCCCAUAAAUAUAUACACCUACUAUGUACCCCCCAAAGUUUUAAAAAAUUAUUUCAUUUCAUCAAAGUUGUCAAUAAUUUUGGCAUUUGAACUUCCAAUAGUGUGAAAAUUAAAAAAUAAUAAUUUUGGCAUAAAGUUGUUCACAACAUACUCAUUAUCCUAUUAAUAUCUAUAGCAUCUGUAGUGAUUUCACCUUUUUUAUUCCUGAUAUUGGUAAUUUCUGUUUUCCAUUUUUGUCCUUAUCAGUCUGACUAGACACCUAUUAUUUUUAUUGACCUUCUCUAAUAUUCAGCUUUUGGCUUCAUUAAGCUUUAUUGUUUUUGUGACUUCUAUUUCAUUGAAUUCCACUCUGAUCUUUAUUAUUUCCUUUCUUCUGCUUACUUUGCAUUUUAUUUUUUCUUCUUUUUCUGGCUUCUUAAGGGGAAGCUGAGAUCAUGGAUUUGAGAAAUUUCUUCUCCGUUACUGGAGGUAUUUAAUACUAUAAAUAUAAUACUAGUACUAUAAAUUUUAGUACUAUACAUGUAAUACUAGUACUAUAAAUUUUAGUACUAUAAAUUUUCCCCUGAAGUACUUCUUUAGUGCCAUCCACAAAUUUCAAUAUGUUAUUUUUUAAAUUUUCAAUUAGUUCAGCAUACUUUCUAAUAUGCCUUUUGAUUUCUUCUUUUAUCAAUGGGGGUGUUUAGAAGUGUAUUAUUUUGUUGGCAAGUAUUUGGGAAUUUGCCAUAAAACUUUUUAUUAUUGAUUCCCAAUUUAAUUCCAUUAUAGUUAGAAGAAAUAUUCAGUUGGGCUUGAAUUCAUUCAUACAUAUUGAGACAUGUUUUAUGGUCCACAAUAUAGACUAUCAUUUUAAUGUUCCAUGUGCAUUUGAAAAAAAAAUGUGUUAUACAGCUGUUGUUUGGUGAGGUGUUCUAUGCCAAUUUGUCAUGUUGGUGGGUAGUUUGGUUCAAGUCUUCUAUAUCUUUACUGAUAUUGUUCUAUUAUUAUUGAGGGGUAUUGAUAUAUUUGUCUAUAGUUGUAGAGUCAUCUAUUUCUCUUUGCAGUUAAAUGAAUUUUUGCUUCCUGUAUUUUAAAUUGAUUUUAUUAGGUACAUAAGCAUUUAGGAUUGUUACGUACUCUCAAUGAAUUCACCCCUUAUUCAUUAUGAAACGAACUUCCUUGUUCCCAGUGAUAUUAAUAUUGUUUGCUCUUGCUCUGACAUUCAUAUAGCCACUUCAGCUUCCUUUUGAUUAGUCUUAGCAUGUUAACCUGGCUGUUCAGGCUACCAUAACAAAACAGCACAGGCUGGGUAACUUAAACAACAGACAUUUAUCUUUCCACAGUUCUGAAGACUGAAGUCCAAGAUCAAGGUGCCAGCAGAAUUGGUGUCUGGUGAGGUCUCUCUUCUUGUCUUGCAACUGGCUACCUUCUUGUAGUGUCCUCACACAGCUUUCUCUGUGUGCAAGCAGAGAGCAGGCUGGGGAGAGAGAGGAAGAGAGCAAGUUCUGGUGUCUCUUCCUUUCCAGUUCUGUUGGAUUAGAGUCCCACCCUUAUAUCCUCAUUCGACUUUAAUCACUUCCUUAAUGCCCUUAUCUCAAAAUACAGUCAAAUUGGGGGUUAAGAUUUCAUCAUAUGAAUUUUGGAGAGACACAAUUCAGUCCAUAGCAGCAUGGUAUAUCUUUUCCAUCCUUUUACAUAUAACUCAUUUUCUUUUAGUAUGUGAAGUGUUUUUCUUAUAGGAAGAGUAGAGUUGAAUUUUGCAUUUUUACCCAGUCCUAACAAUCUCAGUUGGGGGGUCAAAAUAAUAACAACAUUUAAUGUGAUUAUUGAUAUGCUAAGGUUUAAAUUUAUCACCUUGCUAUCUGCUUUCUAUUUAUUCCAAGUGUUAUUUGUUUUCCCUUUGUACUUUUUCUGCCUUCUUUUGGAUUAUUUUUAUUAACUCAUUUUAUCUUCUCUGUUGGUUUAUUAACUACAACUUUGAUGGAUACACACACACACACACACACACACACACACACACGUGUUAUUUUGACUCCCCCAGUUGAGAUUGUCAGGAUUGCAUAAAAAAGCAAAAUUCAACUCUAUUCUUCCUAUAAAAGAAAAAUACUUCCCAUACUAAAAAAAAAAAAAAAGGUUAAAUGUAAAAGGUUGGAAAAGGUACACCAUGCUGCUAUGGACUGAAUUGUGUCUCUCCAAAAUUCAUAUGGCAAAACCUUAACCCCCAAUUUGACUGUAUUUUGAGAUAAAGGGAUACAUUAAAAUACAUUUAAUCUCAAACAUAUUUUUUCAUUUCUAGAAGUUUGAUGUAUACAUUUUAAAUAUCUUUUAGUGUCUCUACUUAAGUUUUUGAACAUAUAUAGCUGUAAUAGCUGUUUUAAUAUCCUUGUUUGUUAAUUUUAACAUCUGCCUCAGGUUUGGUUUGGUUUCAGUUGAUUGUUGUCCCUUCAUUAUGGUCAUGUUUUACUGCUUCUUUGCCUUCCUGGUCAUUUUUUUAUUGUAUGCCAGACAUUGUAUAUUUUUUUCCUAUUGAGUGUUGAAUUUUUUUAUUUCUAUAAAUAUUCUUGAGCAGUUGAGUUGUUUGGAAACAGUUUGUGUUUGGGGAUCAAACCUUUAUGAUUUGUUAAUCAGGACCAGAGAAGUGUUUAGUUUAGGGCUAAUUAUGCUCCACUACUGAGGCAAGAUUUCUUUGAGUACUCUACCAAGUGAUUCAUGAAUUAGGAGAUUUUCUAGUCUAGCUGAUGAAAGUAAGCCCUUUUCCAGUCAUGUGUAAGAACUUGAUACUGUUCCCCUUAAUCCUGUGGGAUGGUUCUUUUCCUUAUCUGCGGUUGUUUCCUCUUAUGCAUGUGAUAAUCAGUAGUGUGAUGAAUACUUGAGAGGAUCCCUUUACAGAACUUGCCAUCAUAUUUUUCAUAGAGAAUAUCUUGCAUUAGCUGAUUGAAAUAUUUAUUCUUGAUUGGUACUUGGCAGUCCUGUUUACUACCUGUCCUGUAUAUGGAAUAUCACUGCCAACUUUAGCGGGGGGGGAUGGGACUGGGUGGGCAGUUCCUGCAAAAACUUCAAAUGACUAAUUAGAAAUGUCAGUGGCAUUUUCUCCCUCAGAAACAUCGCUGUUUAGGAUCGUGAAUUUUCUUUUACUCAUAUUUGAUUCGAUUAUCUUUCUUUCAAAGAAUUUUUCUAGAAUGAAUAUUUUACUUGUAUAUUAGGAAUAGUUUUUAAAUAAUCAGAACACAACUGCUCUCCUCAAUUAUCAUCAUUCUCAUUACUCAUUCCAUUUCUCUGGCUGGCAGCCUAUGGACCACUGGAAGGCCCGGCCAGGGGUGUGGUCAUCAGGACUUCCCAAAAGCACAUCUCCUUCCUCUGUGGCUUGACUGUGUGCCUCUCCUCUCGAGCUGCAACUGUACCAUGGGUCUCCCUUCCAGAUCAAAAGGAAGAUCCCGACCGCAGUCCUUUGGAAUAAGAUUUGCUAGUAUUCAGUGUUCUUUCUUGUGUCUCAACUCAUAUCCAUAUUUUCUUCUCAGAAUUCCAUAGGUUUAGCCCUUUGGGGGUUUUUACUUUUUUCUUCUUAUUUUUUAAACUGCCUGUUCCUACUUUAUGCUGUGUUUUACCCAUAUUUAUGUCAUUUUAAUCAGUUCCAUAAGACUGUGUUUGAACUCCCCACCUCCACUUGCUUUUGUUUUGGGUGAUGACUGUGCUGUCCACCUCUGCCACUUGUUUCAGGCCCUACUACUUUUUCCCUCCAAUGUUCCUUCUUUUGUGUCUGCCAUCUAUUAUUGCUGAAUCCGUUAUUGUCUUCUUAUUUUAUUUUCUCCUCUUCUUCCUUCAGUGGAUGUCUUGAGAUGUUCUUGCUUCUUAUGUUCCAUGUUUGCUGACAUAGGGCAAAACUAAGAAUCUGCGACAAGACAAGCUGCUUUUUCCUCUAUCAAAGCUGCCUUCUUCUGGCAGCUGUCCUUCAUUCUCAAUUACUUUAUCUACUCUUUUUUGCCUUUUUCACAUCCAACCUGUAAUCUAUAUUUUCCUUUCUUCAGCUAAAUCUUAAACUGUUAAAAUAGAGCCUGACAUGUAGUACACAUUCAGUAAAUAUCUGUUGAAUAAAAGAAAACAAUAAAUGAAUGAAUGGUUGUUUGGUAAUUAUCGCCUCAGUUGUUGAUUCUUUGCUUUUAUUUUAGUUCCUGGAAGCUGGUCUGCCUGGAUCAGCAUUGCGUGUGGUGCAUAUUUUUAUGUAGUUUGCAUUACCUCAUGCCCCACAAAGACCACACAUUUCUUACUAUACAGGAAGUGCUGUUGCAUCCUGGGCUUCUAUAUGCAUAGUGAUUUUCCUUACCAUGUGUGUUGAUGUGUUUUUAAAGUGGGAAGUGGAGGCUUUUGUGCAUAGAAAGGAACCAUGUAUAGGUAUUUGAAUAUUAAAAUAACAUUUAAUUAAUUUAAGUUGCAAACGAAACUAUAAUUUUCUUAGGACUUUAAGUUCACUUUGUGAUUUUGAUUUUACUUAUAAACUAAGUAAUUUUUACAUAAUUUGAAAUCAUCCUUCCACUUAUUUAAUUCAAUUUUAGCGGAUUAAAAUCCUUUAUAGUCAUAGUAAUAAGCCAUCAAUUAAGUUCCCCUAAAAUUUUAAAAACACUUCUAAUUUAUUAUAUCAAGCAACUGAGUUGCCUCACAAGGCCAACUUAAGCCUCAAAAAGCAAAAUCAAAGAAAUUGUAAAUCUCAUAAUUCACCCUUAAAACCAUAAUGAGUCAAAAUAUUCAAAUACUGUCUAUAAACAUUAUCAAAUUAUCAACUCUGUGACUUAAGAUAAUGAGAAUAAAAUUGAUUAUAAAUUUCACAUAGAAGUUAUGAAGAUCAAUUUGUCAGAUUUCCUAAUGUUAGGUUUUAUUAAACAUUACUAAUACUUUAAACACAAAAAUUAUAACUUCUGUUUCUAAACCUAUUUAACAGUAUUAAUGCUUUGGGUGGGUCCAAUUUACUUCAUGAUCUUUAUGUUCAAUUUUUAGCACUCCUAUAAUUGUAAAAUCAUUUCCCUAUGAAGGGGAGCAGUUUUACCAUCCCAGCUGGGCUGCGGUUACGCGGUUGAAAGACCUGGGGCUGUGAUAUAGUUACUUAUUUAUCAGAUGUUUAAGAUAAACAUGGUUCAUAGGCUACAAACUUCUAGAAUGAUUCUGCCCAAGCCACAGACAGACACACUGAGUCUUUUUCUAUAUGCUGUGUCCAUGAGGGGCCAAGAUCCUGUCUUUUUGUUGGGAUUGAUUUGGCAGACAAUGUCUCCUGGGCAUUUUAACCCCAUAUUGUACUUUUUCCCAAAUCUUUUAUAACACCUUAAAACAUUAAUUAUCUUAUCUUUUCUAGGUGGAGAUUUGUGUACCUUAUUUAGGUUGCCACAAAUUGCUUUUAUCACUUGGUUAAAGUCUUCAUUUCUUUCACAUUUUUUUUUCAGCUUGACUUUAAAUCUUGUGUACAAAUCCAAAAUUUGAACAUUAACUGGGAGUUUUAUGACAUUAAGGAAUUACUGUUCACCAUUCUUUUAGGGGUGAUCAUGGUAUCAUGGGUAUUUUAAAGAGUCUUUAUCUUUUAGAGAUAUAUUCAGAAAUAUUUACUGAUGAAAAUACAAGUAAAACACAAGUCAAUAAAUCACAUUAGACCCAAAGUAUUCCAUUCAUGCAAAUCCUCAGGAUCACAAUGAUUUAGAAAAGGUGAAAUCCAGAGGCCAGAGCAGGGUCCUUCCCUAAUCAGCUUUAUCUUUCAUGCUUUUCUUAAUCAAAUGAAAAGAAUCCCAAUUCGAGUUAAAGUAGCAAAAUCUCCCCUCUGCCCUCUCCGCUCUCUCAUUUCCCCUCUCCCCUCACUUUUGAUUCUUUUUGCCUAGGUUUGGACCUAAUGUUUAGUCUUGUUCCACAUGGUGGCAAGAAGGCUUCAGGUAGCUCCAGGGUUGUAUGGUGCUGACAGCUAGCAAUCUCAAAAGGAGAAACUCAGUGGCCAGCAUCCAUGACAAUUACUCCAGAGAGCACUGAUUGGCCAUGCUUGGGUCAUGUGUAUUCCUCUGGACCAAUCACUGUGACUCAGGAAAUGGGGUGUUCUGAUUGAACACCCUGGAUCACAGGGUAGUGGGAGAAGCAGGGCCCUUUGAUCCAUAGACUCAAGAGAAUGAUUUGGAGUUCGGGAGGGGCAGUUUUCUGCAGUAAGGAACACCAGACAAACAAAAAAGUGGCAGAUGCCCAUUACAGAACAAAAUAUAUUCAGACAAUUUUGUGAGAUUCAUGUAUAUCAAGUCUUUGGCUGUUCCUGCUGCCAGCUACAAUCGUUGUCUGUCCCAAAUGGAAAGGCACUUGGCGGCUGAUUAACUCAAUCCCUUCUUCCUUGGCAUAGCACUAUUUCAUUUUUGUAUUGCUCAGUUCCAAAUCUGUCUUUUACUUUUCCUGGAACUGCUAAUACAUUACAGUCUUUAUCCAAGUCACACAAGGUCUUCUAUAUUUGUUUUUAAUUUGGAAUCAUCUCCAAGUUUUUCCAGAAUUCUAUGUUCUUUCCUAUAGAUAUAUAUUCUCCAGGAUAACUCCUGUUUCCCAGCUAAGCCAACUUCCUGGGGAUUUGAAUUACUGAAAAGAUGUCCCUUUAGGCUCAUCCCAAUUCAUGUAAUAAAUUGAGUCCCAGUGCAUAAUCUUACAGUCAGCUGCUUUUAAAAUGAAUUCUAAACUCAGUUGAGUUUCCAUUCAAGAGGCAUUUCCUAUUCCUACUUUUAUCUUCCCCUGUCAGAAAAUGCAGAGCUGCUUCUAGUUUCCUGUCCUCCUGGGAUGCUGCUGCUGCUGCUGAUGAUGAUGAUGACAAUUAUAAUAAGAAGGUAGUUAAUAUUUACUAAGUAAAUUAGUGCUGGCAUUGUGCUAGGUAUUUAGUGCAAUCUCUCUUUUAAUCCUGACAAUGUGCCAUAAGGCAGAUGUCAAACCCCAAUUUUACAUAGAGGGAAAUAGGCUCAAAGUGGGGACUUACUCCAGGUCACACAGCCAGUAGGUGGACUAUCUGAGAUUUGAAACCAGGUCAAUCCAACCCCAAAUGCCACGCUCUUUAUCCCUGUGGUUAGACACAUGAAACUAUCACCUUUCUUUCCCUUUUCUUAUUCCUCCUCCCCCAUCUUACUGGUUUUGCUUUCCUUUCCAGCCCCUUCCAAUUCUUUUAUCUUUUUUCCUUCCUCUCUUACACAAAGGUUUAAUUUGCCUUCCCCAUAGUAGGCACUUAAUAGAAAGUUGUUGAAAUAGUUGUGUUGCCAAUUUAUUGAACAGUCUAAAUUUAUGCUUCCAUAUUGAUGGUCAUUGGAUCCCUUCAACCACCUCUGUAAGGAAAUCUAGGUGUUAUUCCUAUUUCAUGCAUCAGAAAAUUAAACAUAGACAAUGAAAGAAUAACAGACAUGUAGGGUCAACUCGUUUUAUCGGAAUGAGGGGUUAAAGCCAUUGAACAGGUCAUGCCCUAAUAGACUAUGCCCUAAUAGACUCUUGAAAACCUGAAAAAGCAAGCGAUUGAUCUGCCUCAUUUAGAAUAAAUGCCCAAGUCCUUUCCAUGGUCUGAGCCUCUUCCUUUUUGUCCUUUUUAUAUUCUCAGCCUCCGGGCCCCAGGCUGUUUCUCCCAUAGGCAAGCUUUUACCUCAGGGUUCUGCUCUACCCCUAUUGUCUCCACCUGGAGCUCUCUCCCUCAGAAGUCAACAAGGCACUCUCUCUCUCUCACCUCUUUCAAGUCUUUGCUCAAAUGUCUCCUUAGUGAGGGCUUCCUUGGCUACCAUAUUUAAGGCUUCCAUGGCUACCAUAACUAGGCUACUCAGUUCCUAUAGGAUUCCCUUUCCCCUUUCCUGUUUUACUUUUCUCCGUAGAACUUUCCACUUGUUAAAUUAAUAUCAUUAUUUAAAAUUUUCUGAAUUUAAAGAAUGUUUGUUCCAUUAGGACAGGAAUUUUGCCUGUUUUCUUUACUAGUAUACAGUAGGUACUCAAUAAAUUUUCACGGAAUGGAUGAAUGAAUAAAUGCAGAUUUUCAUUCAUUCAUUUAUUCAAGAGACAUUGACCACACAGGAGAUGAGCUACCUGUCCUCCUGCCUGCUUUGUUUGAACACCUCAAGGAGGAAGGCUAAUAAAAGUCCAAUGCCAAAUAUGAAAAUAAAUAUCGCAGUCAGAUGUUGAGUAAUAAAAAGUAGUGUAAAAUUGCUGUCUUAAUCGCUAUGCCAUUGGAGAAGCCCACUUUAAGACAAGGAAAGAUCUGUAAGCCAGGGUCAGCCAGGGAAAGAUAGGAAAGGAAUUCUAGAGACAGAAUCCUUUCCCUCUGCUCCAGCCCAAGAUGCUGCCUCCUGUUUUCUGAGAAAUAAGAAGGCAGGUCUAUUCCUGUUAUCUUGGGACUCAGCAGGGCAGCCCUGUUCUUUAACAAGACAAUCUUUCAAUUUAUGUGACUUGCAUAUUUUAGAGUAAAUUCUGUUAAUAUGCAAGCACUAAUACUGUAAUACAAUCAUUUCUACUUCCUGCCAGUGUUUUAUGUCUAAGGCGGCAGCUCAGUGCAGAAAGAAAUUUAGGUAGGCAAGGGAAUAACACUGCUUUCCCUUCAUGCUCAACAAUGUGCCACCUGACAUGGGAUUCUUUUCAGUUCAUUUGUUUGUAAUUUAAACCAAUUCCUGGCUCAGCAUUGGCUCAUGCCUGUAAUCCCAGCACUUUGGGAGGCCGAGGUGGGAGGAUCACUUGAGCCCAGGAGUUCGACACUAGCCUGGACAACAUAAGGAGGCCUUGUCACUACAAAAAUAAAAAUAAAUAAAUAAAAUAAAAUUAGCCGGGUGUGAUGGUGCAUGCCUGUGAUCUCAGCUACUUGGCAGGCUGAGAUGGGAGGAUCACUCAAGCCCAAGAGAUAGAGGCUGCAGUGAGCCGUAAUUGUGUCAUUGCACUCCAGCCUGGGCAACAGAGCAAGACCCUGUCUCAAGAAAGAUACAGUAAAAUAAACAAAUUUUUGACUGGGAAAUGUCUGUUAAAACAUCAGGAAGACUCCCAAAUAAAGGAAAGGACUAUCACCAUCAACCUCAAAUUGAAAAUUAAAUCAUUUUUCAAUGUCUUGAAAAAUCAUACAGAAUCUCUACAAGUUUUGGCUUUGCCUUAAUAAUAGUCAGUACACUGGCCAACGAUGGCACCAAGAUUAAAGGAGGAGGUGAGUCUGGAAACACAUGAACUUGACCUUCUACAAUCGAUUUCCUGUGAGGGAGACUCUGGACAUGGGCAAAGCUUUAAGCCAAAGAUCUGUGAUGCUCAAGGCUCAUCCAGGCAUUGGCAGUGUAUUCAAUGUAUAAAAAAAAUUCUUUUAUUUCCAAUGACCUGUUUUAUGUUAAUUUUAUUGUGAUGUAGAAAAAUAACUAGUGUGUCCUUCAACUUACUUGCCAAAACCUACUCUUUUAAAUAUUUUCUCAGGAGAAAAGUCAUUUUAAUUUUAACUUAAAAAAAAAAAACCACAACUUUUCAGGUAAAUUGCCAAACAGAUGUUUAGUGCUUAGAGUCUCAGGGCAGCCUUUGUGUUGUGGUUGCAAACAUACCUAUCUUCUAGAUCAGAGGUCAGGAAACUACAUCUCUGUGUCACAAACACAACUGCCAUGUGUUUUUGUAAAUAAAGUUUAGGAUAACCACAGUCAUUCAUUGCAUAUUGUCCACUGUCUACUGUCUACAUAUAUUGUGUACUGUCUCUGGGUGCCUUCCCUGCUAUGGCAGAGUUGAGUAGUUGAGAUAGAGACAGCAUAGCCCACAAAGCUUAAGAUAUUUGCUCUCUAGCCCUUGACAAAGAAGUUUGCCAACUCCUAAUCUAGUAGAGGCAAGUUUCUGUUAUAAAGUCCAUACUUAUGUUUACUCAUGAAUGCACCCAUUCUUUUAGAAUAACAUGGAUCAUAGUGUACAUAAUAAACUGUUCCAAAAUGGCAAUAUGGUUUAGUGACCAUAUAUUAUUGUCACCAUUUCCCUUAUUAUGUUAACUUCUAUUAGAUGAAAAUGCUAUUCUGUAAAAUAGAAUUAUGAAACAGUAUACACAGCACAGUGUGAGAGUCAAUGGCAAGACAUUGCACACAAUGAAACCCAGUGAAAUGUGAAGAGGCUAACCGGGAAGUCUCCGUAAGUGCAUAUAUUUCACAGCUGUGGUGCUAAGAGACAGAUUGCUUGGAAUGCCAUGGGUAGACAAAGCCAAACAAAAAUGAGAGCAUGAGGAAAUUUUUCUGGUGAAAACAAUUUUUCCUUACAAAUUUGAAAUAUUUUCCCUUUUAUGUUAUAUUCUUUUUUUCCCCUUUUGAAGUAACAUGGCUUCAUCCUCUGCCAAAUGUAUUCCUUCCCACCCCUACCCCACUUUUGGUUUCUUCAAUAAAUAAAAAUUGAUUCCUUCACCUCGUUCACAUGGACAGUUUCACAAGCUUAUAGUGCAUGUUGAAAGAAGUGUUGGAUUGAUUUUUUUUCAGUAGAUGAAAACAGUAAAAUUGUUAAACUGCAUUAAAAAAUUUUCCAUAUAAUUGAAGGUGAAGGCAUCAAUAAGCAAAGCACUUUUAAGGCAAUACUAAAGUUCUCAGCCUUUGGACUGUAUUGCUUUUCUUCUCCCCAUCACGGGGAAUGAGAUCCAUUCUUGGCUGUUUAGUAUUCUGUAAUGAAAGGAAAAGUCGCUCCCACAUUUUUUGGGGUAGAGAAGGGGUUGUUAGUCAGCAGGACUAUCAAACAACAGUAGUCAUUGCUGUUGCCUGGGCUUUUGAGGGGACCAAAGGAGACCAAACCGAAAGGUUCUGUAAAGUCUUUAAGUGAAAGAUGUUGCUGUUAUCAUCUGAUUUAGUCAUCGAAACCUCCUAAGAACCUCUACAGAGGUUUGAGAUGGGGAAGGAAGGAAGUGAAAGUAAAAUCAAGCAUUUCUGUGACUAUUUAAAGCCACCCUAGGAAUAAGCCUUGCAUGGUAAAGAGUUGAAAUUGAAUGAGGCUUUCAGUUUUCUGUGGGUUUCACUGAUUCACAUUAGCCCAAGGGCUUUUUGUGUCUCCCCAUGUAGCAGUAGUUACACCCCUGGUUGGCAUGAGAUAAAAUCCUGCCGUGCACACAGAAACCAACUUCUUAGGCAUUAGUCAGGGUCUCUCUGAAGUAAAAGUGCCUGAGCCACUUCCGUUUUUUUAUUUUUAAUACUCAUGAUGUGUUAGAAAGUGAAGAAAUGCCAAGACAGACUUACAAACAUUGUGGUAUACUUUUUAAUGUUUAUGUUUAAGAAAUUAGUAGUCUUAACACAUGCAUUUAAGUAAGUGCAAUGUAAUUAUUUUGCUUUUCAAAAGAUUUACAACAUAAAGAAGCAUUUCUACAGGGUAUACUAUAGGCAGUGGGACCCAAGUUUAAGGUUGUAUGAGGGACGACUCCCUCCAGUCAGAUGAGUGAAAGUUACUGCACAUAUAAUCUCACUUGGGGAUGAUGUCAAAUGUCCAUGUCUGCGACCCUGUCUAAACUAGGAGGCUGGGCUAAAAGGCUCCCUUGCCCUCCUUCUCCCAGCUCCCCCCACCCACUGCCACCACUGAGACCAGAUCGUAAGUACACAAUUAUGCCUGUGUGGGGAAGUGGGGAGGAGAAACACAAGGGAUGAUGGAGAGGUCCAUUAUGUACUCCUUACACAAAUAUUUUUCAAGUGCAUACUAUGUGCAGAGGUAAGAAGAUAGUACCAUAGUUAAACUCAUACUUAGGGUUUAAAUCCUGGCAGUGUUAUUCCCUACUUGAGUUAUAAAACUUCUCUAAGCCUUAAUUUUCUCAUCAGUUAGCUCAUUUGUGAGGUGCUUCAUUAGUUGUUAUGAGGAUUAAAUGACUUACCCAUAUAAAGUUAUCUGAACAGCACCACCUUGCACUGUGAGCAAGCAGUAUAAAAGUUCUUGACCUCAGGGAGCUUAAUUUCCAUCUCCCUCACUGCAUUUUGCUCUCAGCUCUCCCGUCUGCAAGCUGGUCUACCUGAAACAACUGCCUUGCAAUAUCAAAAGAUAUCUGAUAAAACGGGUAAAUAUAGCUCCACUGAUGAGGACAAAAAAAAAAUCAGCUGUAUUAAGGAAAUUCUCUUAAAAAGUCAUUAAUCUUCCAUUCAACAAGCAACAAUGUGUGUUAGACACUGUUCGGGGAAUGCUGAUAUUGUAGUGAACAAACCAGGUGUGGUUCUGCACUCAUGGGUGGGAAAGAUAUUGGAUACAUACAUUGUUCUGCACAAUGUAAACAUUUUGUUGCAGUAUGAAGUGCAUACAGAAAGUGCACAAAUAAGUGCACAGCUCAACUCAUUUUCAUGAAAUGAAUGCACACAUAUAAUUAGUACCCAGUCCAAUAAUCGGAAUCUUACCAGAACCCCAGAUGCCUUCUUGUGCCUCCUUCCACUCACAGUCACUUCCAAGGGUAAAUAUUAUACUCAUUUCUGUUAGGGUGGUCCAAAAGUAAUUGCAGCAUUUACCAUUAAAGUAAUGUGCAGUUUUCCUGCACACAUUACUUUAAUGACAAAAACCACAAUUACUUUUGCACCAACCUAAUAAAAGUCAGUAUAGUAUUCACUGCCAGGAUUCGAACUCUAAAGUAAUGGCAAAAGCCGCAAUUACUUUUGCACCAAAAUAAUACAACCACAGAUUACUUUUUCCUGUUGUAAUACUUUAUGAAAAAGGAAUCCUGACGUACUCUUUUGUAAUGGGCUUUUUUUUUUUCACUCAACAUUAUGUUUGUGAGAGUCAUCCUUUUUUUGUAUGUAGCUAUAGUUUAUUUAUUCUCAUUCUUGCAUAUUGUUCUCCUAUAUUGUAUGAAUUUACCAUGAUUUUUGUAUCCAUUCUAUUGUUGAUGGACAUUUGGGUUGUGUCCAGUUUGGGAAUAUUACAAAUACUGCUUAUGUUACUAUUAAUGCUGUUAACAUUCUUGUUCAUGCCAUUUGUUAGAUAUACAUAUGUAUUUCUGUUGGGCAUAUUUUUAGGAGUGGAAUUGCUGAGUAUAAGGUAUGGGUAUGUUCAGUUUUAGUAGAUACUGUCAAACAGCUUUCCAAAGUAGUUGUAACAAUUUACACUCUGGUCAGCAGAAUAAGAGAGUUCUGGUUGCUUUAUAUUGUCUGUCUUUUUCAUUUUAGUCAUUUUGGAGGGUAUGUUGUAGUUUUUGCAUUAUGAUUAAAAACAUUUUUUUUUUUCAGAGACAGGGACUUGCUCUGUUUCCCAGGCUGGAGUGCAGUCGUGUGAUCAUAGCUCACAGCAGCCUCGAGCUCCUUGGUUCAGGCAAUCCUGCCACCUCAGCCUCCUGAGUUACUGGGACUGCAGUCCUCCCAGCUCAACCUCUCCUGAGUCACUGGGAUUUUUCCAUUUUAAUUUUCAUCUGUGCUUUCCUAAUGACUAAUGGAGUGCCUUUUCAUAUGUUUAUUUUCUGUUUGAACAUCUUCUCUCAUAGAGUAUCUAUUCUGACAUUUGCCCAUUUUUCUAUUGAGUUAUUUUCCUGUAUCUCACUGAUUUGAAGGAGUGCUUUAAAUAUUCCAGAUAAUAGUCCUUUGUUAGAUAUAUGUUUGAAAAUCUCUCUCUCAGUGUAUGGCUUUUUACUCUCUUAAUGGUUUUGAAGAACUGAAGCUCUUAAUUUUAAUGUAGUCCAAUUGAUCAAUUUUUUCCCCUUCACAGUUACUGCUUUUUGUGUUUUAAGAAAUCUUUGCCUGAGACAGUUCUUGUGGAAACAGCUAGUGCAACACUGAGAAACUGUUGUACAUUAUGUUGCCUAGAGUACAAACAGCACAGUCAGGAUAGCUAAAUGUGACCCCAAGAAACCAAAAGGCAAGAUGUCUGCUCAUGCCUUCUUUAUGAAGACAAUGCUGGGAGGAAAAUACAAAUAAUAAUCCAGAGGCCUCUGUAAACUGCAGUUUCCAAGAAGUGGAAAUACACUGACAGGUGGAAUACAAUGUGUGGUGAAAGAGAAAUACAAAUUUGAUGAAAUGGUGUGGUAUACUAUGAGCAGGAAAUAAAGGAUUAUAGACCAACUAAGGGAGGCAAGAAGAAAGAUGAUAACACCCUCCUCUCAUGCUCCACCUUCCUCUUCUACUUAGAUCUCUGCCCAAUAGUAAAUCCACAAAUUUAGGCAUUUCUACUGGAGAUGUGGCCAAAAACCUGGAUGACUGUUAUGUAUGUAGAAUUCCUAAAAUGCCCCCAUAAAGAUAUUUCCCCCUAAUCCCGGGAACCUGGGAAUAUGAUGAGACAUCACUCACUAGUGUGGUUGUCAUAUUUCAUGGCAGGGUUAGGUAAUCUCCUUAAGAUAGGAGAUUAUCUUGGAGGAUCCAAUUUAAUCACAUGAGACCUUUUAAGCAGAGAGCUUUUUCCAGCUGGUGGCAGAAGAAGUCAGAGAGAUUUGAAGAGUAAAGGGGUUAUGGCUUGAAGUUGCAGCAGGCCCACCUGAGAAGGAAUUCAGGAAACCUUAAAAGACCUGAGAGAGGCCCUGGUCAACAGGCAUCAAGGAAAGAGGAUCCUCAGUCCUACAACCACAAGGGACUGAAUUCUUCCAGCAACCUGUGUGGGCCUGGAGGUGAUGUCUACUUAGAGCCUCCAGGUGAGGACCCAGCUUGGCUGAUGGCUUGGUUCCCGCCUUGUGAUUCCCUGAGAGGAGAACCAGGUGACAUCGUGCUGGACUUUGUUAAAAGCUGUUAAGUGUGUGGUAAUUUGUUAUACAGUGACAGAAAACUAAAACAUGCAGGAUAAUUUUAGUGAUGAUGAAAAGCUACCUUAUAACAAAGUUGAAGGAGAUGUAUAGGAAGUAGGUGGCCAACUAUAAUCUAAAGCAAAGGGAUGGUGAUAGAAUUUGGCUAUUUGUCCUCACCCAAGUCUCAUGUGGAAUUGUAAUCCCCAAUGCUGGAGGAGAGGCCUGGUGGGAGGUGUUUGGAUCAAGGGGGCGGAUGCCUCAUGAAUGGCUUGGGCCAUCCCCUUGGUGGUAAGUGAGCUCUCACUCUGAGUUCACACAAGAUCUGGGUGCUCAAAAGUGUGCGGCAGCUCCCCUGUAACCCAUGCUCUCUCUCUUGCUCCCAUUCUUGCCAUGUGAAGCGUCUGCUUCUCUUUUGCCUUCCGCCAUGGCUGGAAGCUUCCUGAGGACCCCCCCAGAAGCAGAUGCCACUAUGCUUCCUGUAUAGCCUGCUGAACUGUGAGCCAAUUAAACCUCUUUUCUUAUAAAUUA